UUUUGAUCCCUUAAUCGUCAUCCUUCAGGAUUGGGUUCAACUUCUUACUUGUAAAUUAUAGAAGUUCACUGGGAUUUGGUGAGGAAGCACUUCAAUCUCUUCCGGGAAAGUUGGCUCCCAGGCACCAGAUAAGUUUUCUGCGGCUUGUGCAAGGAAUCCUGUUUGUAAUCUUGCAUUGAUGGUUGGUACAACAGACAUCCCUGAUUCGUGCUAUGUGGAGGCCUAUAGAAGUGAAGGUAAACUCUAUUCAGAAGCACCUUCAGCUGAGGAUCUGGCACUUUUUCGCAGCAAGGCUCCUAUUUCACAUAUUAAAGGUAUAUGCUUGUUUAAGCUUCUAUUACUAUAUUAGGGAAUUUGCUCAGGACUUU